UAUAUAUAUACACAAAUAUAUAUAUAUAUAAAGAUAAUUUUCUGUGGGAAAAAAAAAAGCCAAUUUGGAGUUGCUCAGUUACUGUAUCCUGGUCUAUGUUACCUACAAAUCCCAGCAGGUACUUUCAGUUCUGGUUUUGCAGAACAUCCUACUUCUUUCUUCCACCAGUGGUCAUGUAGUCUUAACGUUUUCAUACAUCUUUGCUGCUACUCUUAAGAGAAGUGUAAGAGCAUAAUGGGCAAAGAGGUGUGCUACAGGAGCUGGAUUUGGUGUAGUGUGUUCUCUCACUGCUACAUAUGAAUAAUCACUCUGUUUUGGGGUUUUUUUCACCCCUUUUGGUUUGUGUGCCAUUAAUGGAACUUGAGCUGCUUUGGGUCAGAAUGAUUUCUUACUUAGGUUGUACAUUACCUGAAAAACUGGAACCCAGACUUGUUUGGAUCUCCAGCUGUUUUAAAAUGUUACUUCCAUUAUUGUGGUUGUCAUUUCUAACAGGAUACAGUAAAAUAUUUUGCCAGAUUCAUGUUUGUAACCACCAUCUUAUAUUUAAUUGGAUGAGUGAAAGCACAUCGAAUUGCUGCUGUGGCAAAGAAAUUCCCCUGAUGUUAAAAAAUAGAAUACAGAUUGGGUCAAAGUUAUUAUUAAUUCAAGUUCUAAACCACUUUUUAGUUGUUAUCUCACUAUUGGUAAUUACAGCCUCCUGUAAUUCAUAUCAGAUACUUUUUGUCUGAUCUGUGUAGUCCUUGGAGCAUGGAGUAUUUUGUAUGAUUAUGAAAUAGCAGGCAUUGUUGUUGGAUUAGUAAUAGCCUCUUUGUCCCCCUUCAUAUUAGGCCAGCAAAUGAUCUACUUCUGUUUUUAAAUGGUUUAAUUUUAGAAGAGAUUAUAAACACAUAAUUUCACUAUUAGAAAGAGGUUGAAAUCUGGGCCAGGAAUAUGACUUGGAAACAAAUGAAUGUCCAAGUUGUCAGUUUAUUACCAAAUUAAACCUUGAUGGUUAAGACUGAAUCUUAAUUGAUAUUUAAGAGAGAUUUGGAGCCAGUCAUUCCUCCAUUCAAUUCCACUUUGAAGUAAACUGGUGUGAAGCUGUUCUGCUCUUGCCAAAUACUUUAUGGAGUCCAUUAAUUAAUAUCUUCUGGACAGCUUCAGCAGAGCAUGUGGUUAAAUUUGCACAGUCACUGGGGCUGCCAAAUAAUCACACGCUUUCAUUUGUGGAAACAGACCAUGAUGAUUUGUUCAAAAGGAAGGAAUAAAUAAACAAGAAAGCAGCCCCUGAAAGUGCGCAAAAUCCAGAUUGUAAGUAACAGCUUUAAAUAACUGGAUGGCAGAAAAUGUACUUGCUUUGGGAUGACUAUUGUGCUGCAUUUAGCUCUGGUGGGUAAGGAAAAGGGAAGGUACUCUGUCCUGUUGCCUAGUAGGUAACUGAAGCUUCUAAGGCUGCAGUCCCUUGGGUAGUGGCAUCUGGAGCGCUCUGAAUCACUUAAGAUGGGGUGAGUACAGACAGUUCCAGUCAUACCUCAGUAAACCUCCUUCCCCAGCUGCUGGAACCAUGGCAGGCAUGUUUCAGUUUAGAUGUUCCUUUGAGAAUCUGUUGAUGAAGGUAACCAGCUAGGACAGCUGUCAGGAGAAAUUUCCUUUGCUAUUGGAGUUGUUUGGGGUUGGGUCAUAGAAUCGUAGAAUUGUUUGAGGUGAAAGGGACCCUUAAUAGCCACCUAGUCCCGAUCCCCUGCUGUGAACAUAAACAUUCAUCGCAUCUUUGGGAUCCCUUACAGCUCAGGCCAAAGCUGCACACUGCCCAGCAGAAAGUAGAUCUACUCUACUUUGCACUUCCUGGAAUCAUCUGUUGCUUAGGCAGGGAAAUUAUGGGCAGAACUUUGUGUCCAGGAGCAGCAACAUCAAAUGAAAAAGGUGGCAGCUCUGUAAGAGAAAUUAAAUUUAAAGGAAGAAAAAAUUAAGCAGGAAGAUGGGGACUUUAUGUCAUAAAUGCUUUCAAUUACCAGAUCCCAACAUAACAUCUAUUAAGCUGAUAUCAUAAUAAGUGAAUAAGAACUACAGUAGGUGCAACCUAGUGCAUGUAGAACCAUAGAUUUAUGUGCCUAUUCUAAUUCCAGAAAGAAUAUUGUUGUCGUUUUAGUUUAAGGGAUCGCAGCCAUGAUGUCAAGUGGAAAAGAAUUAUUUUCAAAGUGAGUUAAAGUUGCACAGAAUAACCGUGACAAAGUCAACCACGAGGAGACCAGACGUGUAGAGCCUGAAAAGCAUGAGCUGUAAUUCCAGCUGAGAAAAUCAUGGGAGGAAAAUUCUAAAUAUAAAAACUGUCACAGACACAGCACUGCAGCAACUCAAGGGGCUGAGCAACUGGAGCUCCCAGGCUGGAAAGGCAGAAACACUUCAGUGAACGUGGAAAAGAGGAAAGAAUGUGAGUUACAGACACACAAAUGCAGCAUUUGGGAGAAAUUCCUCAAGACUUAGAAGAAAAAAAUCAGGUAAAAAUCAAUGUGUCUGUAAUGAUCACUAGUUAGCUAAAACUUGCUUUUCAGAUACUUUAAAACGCUAAUUUUAGAGGCCUUGGAAGACAGCAUGGCCAAGAUUUUCUCUACAUUUAUUGCUAAUUUUGUUUUUCUUGUACUUUCUGCACUGUAUCCUUUUCUCACAAAUCACCUAUCUAAAUUUUAAAAGCUGAUGAAUGAGUUCCUGUACUAAUUUGUGCAGAGAAAAUCACCAAGUUUAUUUCCUAUCUAUAAUAUUUAAUAAAUCCACAAGUGUCUAUUUCUAGAACUCCAUCAAACAGGAGCUGGUUUCACCAUCCUAUUUUGAACUGUGUUCAGGUGUAUAUUCUUCCAUACUGAGUUCACCCUAUCAGAAAGCAGCAGGCAGACAUUUAUCAACUUAGCCUCAAGGAGCUGAGAGGCCCCCCUUAAUGCUGGUGCUUCUUAUUAUGUUAAAUGCUUUCCAGAAGCAUUUGUGGAAAAGAUGUUAAGAGAUCUACGCCAAUUAAAGUUAUUUUCAAGUAUCUGAAUAGACCACCAGCUCAUAAGCUGAUGGAGGCAGAGGGCAGUGCUGGCCUGGGUAACAGAGCCUCUAAUGCAGUCAGCUCUACCUGCCGUGUAAUUUACUUCUAUUCUGGUCAUUACAACUGGCACAAUUGCAGUUAUGCCUCAGGAAAGGCUGGUAGCCCGCUAUGCUGAAGUGAGCAUUUUCAUUCCUUGUUUUUAAUUCUAAUGCUUUUGGUAACUUGACCUUCAUUUCCUAAAUUUCACAUUGUCUUAACUGAAAGGAAGAGUCCAUGAACUCCUUAUCCUCCACGUACUUUAUACACUCUAUUAAAGAUCACUUCUCCCUCCACGAUCUCACUUUGCAUGGCUUCUUAGAUAGUAACAGUUCUGAGAAUACUUCACACAUCAGUUAUUUUAAGCUUCUCACUGCUAACCUAAACAAAAGCUCAACAGAUUAAUGUCUGAAGUAUUUAAAGAUAAAAACCACUGUCAGAUAGUUUCUUUCCUCACUCCAACCAUUUAUUUAUGCCAAAUAAAAUUCUGUUGUCAUGGCUACUUAAUCAACCUAUUACAAAUAACAUUUCGCCAGCUACCAGAUGUAUGGACUCUGUUAAAGCCCAUCAUGGACACAGGCUUUAUAAAAUGAAUCCAGAUGAGUCCGUAUCACUUUAACAACUCCACAUUAAAAGCCACACCAUCCAUCCCUAUAAUCAAUCCUUCAUCAGGACAGAAUUUCCCUACAAAUGGGACGAUCCAACUUGAUGUUCUUCAGAGGUAAAGGCCUGAUGUACUCACUGAGAAGUGAAUCUUACUGUGCAAUGCACAGAUUGAGGAAUACUCUGCAACGUGUUUGCAUCUUUCUUACUACACAGGAAACAUUUUCAAUGAGUCUCUUCUUCAUCCAGUAACAAACUUGUUUUUGGAUGUCCUUUCCUGAUAGCUCUGGAAGUGCUUGCCAAGCUGUUGACAUCUCAAAGCUGUUCUGAUUUGUUCUCAUUGAAAUACUACUGCUGGUUCUAUUAAACCUUAAUAUCUGCAACUACCUGCUGUGCAGCUCUGAAGUCUCAGCUGCACACAGGCAGUCCUGUUUUGCUUUUGAGGAUACAGCAAAUAGCUUUUAAGAUCUGCCUACAAGCAGAUUUUGCUCCACUGAACUGAAACCACAUCUGUGUGUGGAAGAUGACUUUUGACUGUGCAAGUCUAGAGGAGCUAUGAACUAAUCUGAACCAGCCAUAAACUUCGCUUUUGUCACUGCAGCUGCCAGCCUAGAUUAUAAUGUGAGCAAAAACUCAUGUUCUGGAUGCUGCCUCGGAAUUUAAAGAAACUGUUAAACUGUGCUGAAAUUACCUGAUCACUGUUUGGAUUUACUCAGUGCUCUGCAGGAACCUGCAAACCCACGUAGCAGUCAUGUAGUAAUUUGCCUGCUGAACACUCUUGUCAUAUGCUACCAUUAUGCUCUGUGCCCAACCUCACCCCUGCCAGCCCCAGGCUUCAGCUUGCCAUUUUCCUCACUUAAAAAAGGAAAAAAGCAGGAAAACAACCAGCAAUGCCUGUUCAGUCAUGUUUUCUCUAUUGGAAGCUUCUAUUAAACACUCUCCUUGAAUAUCCAACUCCAAUACAAAUGACUGCCCGGGCAGACUGCAACUUGAUGAAACUUUCUGCUCUUUAAUACGAGACUGACUCAUUUAGAUGGCCACACUUCUCAUGACUUAGCUACAAAGUGAGCUGUGCAACUGACAAAUGGCACAGAAGCUUCCUGAGCCACCACAGCAACCUCAUUCACCAUUUCACAGUGCAAACAAAACAAACAAACGUGCACUUUUUCCAAUCUUUCUGCAUGUGUUAUGUUAAAUGAUCAAAAAUCGAUACUAAACAAACACCAUCAUUCAUCAGUCAGUUAUAGGUUUAAUCUGGACUGUGACUUUACUAGUUUAAAAUGGAGUACGCUCUAUUUACAUUUAAAACACGGCUCUACUUAUGUCACUCAAACAUCACACCAACUCAACACCCAUCCCUUUUACUAGACUGCACAGCGCAGUCAUGUUAUAGAAGUAUGCAGACUAAGAACAAGAUGCUCCUUUUCCCAUUUUGUAGAAAGAUUAAAUGAGCCACUGCAAAGUCAAGAGCCUUUUUUAUACCAGUUUCAAGAGGCCAGAUAUGCACAUACGAACUGCAUGCGCAAGUCUUACGAUGGGAAUCAUUUCAGAAUUUAAUAGCAUUUUCUGAUGCGUGUAUUCCACAUUUUCAAAUGCUUAUAGUUGGGUUAACAGCUUACUCUGUGCUAACAGAAUUUAGGGUAUCAGAAGUGAUUUUACCUGAUCUAACUUGUUACAGAAACAAAAAUAAAAGCCAAGCAGCAAAGCCUUCAUGCACAAGUACAUAUGACCAUAGUGAUUAGAUUGAAGACUGGGCAAGAAUACAAGGCUUAUUCAUGCUACUCAACCUACAGCUGCCAGUUUAAGCUCCUCCAGAAAACUGCUAGGACGGUUGGCAGUCUGGUUCUUUUUUAAUUAACAAUUCUUUUACUUGCACCUCUUCUUAUAAUUUUUUGCCUCACCUCUACGGCACUUAGUUGAAAACUACCAGUUAGAGCUGUGCUUUUGUGACUGGCAGCUCGUGUUCAGCUGUGCAGCACCUGAAUGAAUUGCACUGGGUAUUCAAGCAAACUACAUCUGAACUAAGAAACAGCACGGUAGGGAACACGUCACCAAACUGAUCAGCUGAAGUGACUGUUAAAUGUGAAAUAAUAAAAGAUCUUGAUUUUACAGUGUCCUACCUGUUUGACUGCUGAACCUCACUACGUAGGAUGUGAACAUUUGGGAAUGCUUAUCUGAUGAUAAGAAACAAAGCUGAAUACUGCAGUUUCCUCUACAAUGAAUUGCAGAACAGCCUUUAAGUUACGAAAAUUGAUGUAACUGGAGGAAUGCAUUUGGAGGCCCUAUGAUGGAUCUACCACUACUCUCAGCAGUUGCAGCUACAUCAGCAGAAGCAGCAACUUCUCCCUCCUCAAGCUGCUGUCAUCCUUCACUUUCUCUUACUUGGGCUGGAAAUGUUAAGUUACUGCUGGCUGUGCCACUGUACUGAGAUACUGACAGCAAGUGGUGAAGUGCUAAGGGUAGUCAAAUUAUUUGCUAGCAAUUCAAUUUAAACACUCCUUCCUUACUGAUGUGAUCUGGAUUACCAGAAUACAUUGUAGUGAAACACUGGGCUACGUGUUGUGUUUUACUCUGUCCUCAAGCAAGUUACUGACCCAACUUUAGAAAUCCAAUGAGAAAAAAAAGCCUCAAAAAAGUCCCAAGUGUGCUGCUUCCAACUGCAGGUCAGGAAGCCAGUCCUGAAUAAUGAAGGGCCAGCAAUGCAAGAACCACACCCAUCUGACUAGUCACAGUCCUUUAACAUAUUUAAAUGCAGACUACUCUUCCCUCAAAGUAAACUUCAUCAAGAUCCCAAAUCUUUUUCUUCUGCAACAUUUUCAUCUUCUACCAUGUGAAAGACACUCAGCCUAAAGCACUUCCAGCACUGGCAAGAACAAGCCUCCAACCAGAAGAAAACUUCUGCUCCUACAAACAUACCACCUUUGACAGUCAGCAAAACCACUGAUGAAAAAAUUUCACUACGAACAAAGUUUUAGGAAGUAAAAGUACUUUGAGCAUUUAAUAGAUGACAUUUUAAGCUGACACUCUGUUGUUGUUUCUAAUUUCAUUAUUGGAGAAACAGCGAAUUAGUCAGUGCCACUUUAAAGAAAGUCAGUUUCAAGCAUUAAGAAGAAAAAGGCAAAUUACUCACUGAAUCACAAGGCAACGUCACACUUACUCCUUCAACAGGUAUUUGUCAGUUAUCCUCCUAACAUGGCAAAUCAGUGUCUGCUCUGCUCUCUGAUCUUACUAAGAAUUCAUGAACAAAUUGAGACAGACCUUUUAUAAAAAGAAUCCCAAGAUGUUCCCAGUCUAAGUAAACUCCUACUGAUGUUCUAUUCAGCAAGUAAACUAGUUCUCAGUCAAAGCCCUUCUGCUGGGACACGUUCAGAAACAAGUCAAGUAUCACAAUGUUUAUUGAUAGAUACAAGUAUAUAAAAAUCAGGGCAUGAACAUGUCUUGAUAAGUUAAGUAGACUUAAUUUCAAUAUUAUAAUAGAGGGACCAAUUCAAAUUUCUCACCAUCAUGUUUCACACCCACAAAAACCUCCUCCAAAGGGCAUUAAAUCAUCUGUCCAGCUGAUCAGUUUUUGUGCAAGUAAACUGUUUCUUU